AACUUUCAACAACGGAUCUCUUGGCUUUUGCAUCGAUGAAGAACGCCGCGAAAGUGCGAAACGUAAUGUGAAUUGCAGAAUUCAGUGAAUCAUUGAAUCUUUGAACGCAUCUUGCGCCCCUUGGCAUUCCGAGGGGCAUGCCUGUUUGAGUGUCA
rnacentral:rRNA from 1 species